GCAUCUUAGCGUUCUUUUUUCCUGCUCAUUUCACUUUGAUUUCGUCUUCUUUUUCUAUUCAAAUUCAAAACUCAAAUAAAAAAAUAUUGAAAUCAUUCUUCAAUCACCCCGUAUCACGCCUCUUCCUCCUCUAAUUUCUCCUUCGGUUUUGGAAACCAAAUCUCCAUUUUAUACGCCAAACCAUAGCUAGCUAUAUCAAUGCUGCCAUCUUCUUUUGAAAUCUUUAUUUUUUUCUCCAAUCACCACAAGCUUAAGGAGUAGGGUUUUUAAUCGAACCUUAAUCCCCACCAUGAAUAACAUCAAAUUGAUGGCACAGUACUGAUAUGGUGAUAUGGGGGUAAAUAUUUUGAUGGAGUUCGUCGGAAAAUGAAGCAGGUAAAUGACGAGAGAGGUUUAGAAAGUGAUGUUUUAUGAUGACACCUAAUAGGUGUUUGAUGAAAUGUCUAACAUAAACAAUAUUAUACAUUAGCUUAAUCAUGAAUUUCAAAUAACUUUUCUUAUUGGUAUUUGGUGCUAAAGACUGUAUCUAUGUAAUUUCGUUAUCUCCAUAUAUUUCGUAUAUGAUUUUCAGUUUUCUAGACCUCCCCUCCCUAAUACACAUAACAUUUUUACUUAGUUUUCUGUUGGUUAUCUUUUUUUCUUUUGAAUGAUAGCGGGUUGUGAUUACUUUUUAAAUGAAAAUGGAUUUUGUAGUGCAUUUUUCUAUUACACCUUCCAAAUGUGUUAAAUUUAUGUUUAUG